UUGAUUCAGUUCAGACAAAGAAUGGAGCCUCUCUUUCAGAGAGCCUGAGCUCAGGCUCUCUGUACGUGAAUGAGGGUGGCCACAGCGAACCUUUAUGAAUGUUGUUAAACAUGUUUAAAUGUGUAAUUAGGAUAAAUCUAGAUGGGAUUAUGCAAAAUAUUCACAAACCAUCAAUACUCUCCCAAUCAAUCAAUCAAUCAAUCAAUCAAUCAAUCAAUCAAUCAAUCAAUCAAUCAAUCAAUCAAUCAAAAGAGUGAAUUGUUUUCCUUUUCAGGGAGCUCUGUAUGUUAGAGUAAAAAGAAAUGAUUCAUAAUUUAGAACUGAUGGAAAUCAACCAAAAACGUUUAAUUAAAAAAUAAGUCAUAAAUCCACAAACAAACUUAAUUAAAACACAACUUUUAGCCCAACAAUUUACAUAUUAAAAUAGUAAUGCAUGGAACUUACUCAUAAGCAUAUAUCUAAAAUUAAUCAAAGAAUUACAAUUAAAAACCCAAGCUGACAGACUGGGCAAAGACCGUCACUCUGGAAGAGCUGCAGAGAUUUGUAUUUCUCGGGGGUGAAUUUAACAGAAGAACUACUUGAACGGAGGAGCAGCAAGAGGAAAGUUAAGGUGAUUUGGUCACACGGAACCACAAGAAAACUUUUUGGCCCUCAAGCAAAACACUUAGCGGAGGAGAAUCUACCUUGAGACAUCAUCACCUCUCUAAAACAUGGUCAUGGCAGCAGCAGGCUGUGGGAAAGCUUUUCUUCACCAGGUCAAAGGAAGCUGGUUGAGGUCGAUGUGAAGACCGAUGGAGGUAAAUCCAGGGCAAUAAUGGAGAGAUAAUAAACCAUAAAAGGGUCCUAAAGGCUUGAGACUGGGGCAAGGUUUACCUCUACAACUUUCCAGAACACACAGCCAAAGAUACAAUAGAUCAAAGCAUGCACAUGCAUUAAAAAUGAAAAAUGCAACCAGGAACUUUAGUCAUAAAUAUUCAAACUGAGGCUCAUACAUGAUGUCUGUCCACUCUAACCUUGAGCAAUUGUACAAAGAAUGACGGUAGAGAGCCACUGUAUCGCUUCACAAUUCCCAGUAAAGACUUAAUUGGUUAUCCGACCCGGAAGUGGAACGACGUCACGCUAAUUAGACGUCACCUGCGAAGCUCUUGUGAGCGAGUCCGACGGGAAACACCCAAAAUGAAUUUUAGCGAUGUUCUUUUAGCAACAACCGUUUCACAUGCAGUUUCUGCCGCUUCUUUAGUGUUCUUUUGAGUGUGAAGAUUUACGUAUUUGUCAAGAAAGCCAGCUGUCAAGCGGGUUAAACGUCAGUUGGAGGCUAAAGCUAAUGGAUGAAACCCGCCCGUUGGACCGCAGUCGUCCUCCCGCUGCGCCUAUUGUCUCUUGUGUUUCCCCAGCCUGCUCUUUUUCUCAUUUCACCCUACAUGCUCCCCAUACUGCAGCAAUAACCUGCCUCUCCCCUGAGAUUUGGACGUUAAGAAGAGACGUACAGCUCACCCCCCAGGAUUUCUCAUUACCGUCCUCAUCUGUUGUUUGUCUACAACACGAGCAAACAAAAAGCUGCUGAAUGUCUUCAGCUGUCGUUACGU